rnacentral:ncRNA from 18 species
CAAUUUUGCCGUAUCAUAGAUGCGCGUUGGCUCCGGUGAAAAGGGAAACAGGUGUAAAUCCUGUACGAACUCGUCACCGUAAUUAGGGAGUAGAAGCCGAGAUAUCACUGGGAAACUGGGAAGAUGGCGGAUGCGAUGAUCUUUAAGCCGGGAGACCUGCCUGACUGCUGUACAGAAAC